CGAACGGUAACAGGAAGCAGCUUGCUGCUUUGCUGACGAGUGGCGGACGGGUGAGUAAUGUCUGGGAAACUGCCUGAUGGAGGGGGAUAACUACUGGAAACGGUGGCUAAUACCGCAUAACGUCGCAAGACCAAAGAGGGGGACCUUCGGGCCUCUUGCCAUCAGAUGUGCCCAGAUGGGAUUAGCUUGUUGGUGAGGUAACGGCUCACCAAGGCGACGAUCCCUAGCUGGUCUGAGAGGAUGACCAGCCACACUGGAACUGAGACACGGUCCAGACUCCUACGGGAGGCAGCAGUGGGGAAUAUUGCACAAUGGGCGCAAGCCUGAUGCAGCCAUGCCGCGUGUAUGAAGAAGGCCUUCGGGUUGUAAAGUACUUUCAGCGGGGAGGAAGGUGUUGUGGUUAAUAACCGCAGCAAUUGACGUUACCCGCAGAAGAAGCACCGGCUAACUCCGUGCCAGCAGCCGCGGUAAUACGGAGGGUGCAAGCGUUAAUCGGAAUUACUGGGCGUAAAGCGCACGCAGGCGGUCUGUCAAGUCGGAUGUGAAAUCCCCGGGCUCAACCUGGGAACUGCAUUCGAAACUGGCAGGCUUGAGUCUUGUAGAGGGGGGUAGAAUUCCAGGUGUAGCGGUGAAAUGCGUAGAGAUCUGGAGGAAUACCGGUGGCGAAGGCGGCCCCCUGGACAAAGACUGACGCUCAGGUGCGAAAGCGUGGGGAGCAAACAGGAUUAGAUACCCUGGUAGUCCACGCCGUAAACGAUGUCUACUUGGAGGUUGUGCCCUUGAGGCGUGGCUUCCGGAGCUAACGCGUUAAGUAGACCGCCUGGGGAGUACGGCCGCAAGGUUAAAACUCAAAUGAAUUGACGGGGGCCCGCACAAGCGGUGGAGCAUGUGGUUUAAUUCGAUGCAACGCGAAGAACCUUACCUGGUCUUGACAUCCACAGAACUUUCCAGAGAUGGAUUGGUGCCUUCGGGAACUGUGAGACAGGUGCUGCAUGGCUGUCGUCAGCUCGUGUUGUGAAAUGUUGGGUUAAGUCCCGCAACGAGCGCAACCCUUAUCCUUUGUUGCCAGCGGUCCGGCCGGGAACUCAAAGGAGACUGCCAGUGAUAAACUGGAGGAAGGUGGGGAUGACGUCAAGUCAUCAUGGCCCUUACGACCAGGGCUACACACGUGCUACAAUGGCGCAUACAAAGAGAAGCGACCUCGCGAGAGCAAGCGGACCUCAUAAAGUGCGUCGUAGUCCGGAUUGGAGUCUGCAACUCGACUCCAUGAAGUCGGAAUCGCUAGUAAUCGUGGAUCAGAAUGCCACGGUGAAUACGUUCCCGGGCCUUGUACACACCGCCCGUCACACCAUGGGAGUGGGUUGCAAAAGAAGUAGGUAGCUUAACCUUCGGGAGGGCGCUUACCACUUUGUGAUUCAUGACUGGGGUGAAGUCGUAACAAGGUAACCGUAGGGGAACCUGCGGUUGGA
rnacentral:rRNA from 1 species